rnacentral:rRNA from 1 species
UACGUAGGUGGCAAGCGUUGUCCGGAUUUACUGGGCGUAAAGAGCGCGCAGGCGGUCGUUUAAAUCCCGUGUGAAAGCCCCCGGCUCAACUGGGGAGGGUCACGCGAUACUGAUCGACUCGAAGGCAGGAGAGGGUAGUGGAAUUCCCGGUGUAGUGGUGAAAUGCGUAGAUAUCGGGAGGAACACCAGUGGCGAAGGCGACUACCUGGCCUGUUCUUGACGCUGAGGCGCGAAAGCUAGGGGAGCAAACGGG